UAUUUUAACGAUCUGAAACGCAAGUGUCAAAGCGCAAAGCGCAAGUAACUUUGUGGGCGGAUCCCGGCGCUGUUGCUAUUUUCCCGGCGGGAUAAAUGCCUCUUGCGCCUGGCGCAUAUCUAAAAGGGGUUGGUCUGAAGUAGCUUCAUUAUUCAUAGGUGUGGUUUGGGCCGUGAUGAACGAGGUGCGCUUGUUCCAUGGCGCAAAACUAUUAUAACGGCGCA